rnacentral:tRNA from 1 species
GGUCCUGUGGUCUAGUGGUAUGAUUCUCGCUUAGGGGUCGUCACGUGACUUAAAAUCAUGUGACUCUAAGCACAUUUGCGAGAGGCCCCGCGUUCGAGUCGCGGCAGGACCC